AUUCCAGCUCCAAUAGCGUAUAUUAAAGUUGUUGCGGUUAAAAAGCUCGUAGUUGGAUUUCUGCUGAGGACGACUGGUCCGCCCCCUGGGUGAGCAUCUGGUUCGGCCUGGGCAUCUUCUUGGGGAACGUAUCUGCACUUGAUUGUGUGGUGCGGUAUCCAGGACUUUUACUUUGAGGAAAUUAGAGUGUUUCAAGCAGGCCCGCGCCUUGAAUACAUUAGCAUGGAAUAAUAAGAUAGGACCUCGGUUCUAUUUUGUUGGUUUCUAGAGCUGAGGUAAUGAUUAAUAGGGAUAGUUGGGGGUAUUCAUAUUUAAUUGUCAGAGGUGUAAUUCUUGGAUUUAUGAAAGAUGAACUUAUGCGAAAGCAUUUACCAAGGAUGUUUUCAUUA
rnacentral:rRNA from 1 species